rnacentral:rRNA from 1 species
CAGCACCUCAAGUGGUCAGGAUGAUUAUUGGGCCUAAAGCAUCCGUAGCCGGCGCUGUAAGUUUUCGGUUAAAUCUGUACGCUCAACGUACAGGCUGCCGGGAAUGCUGCAGCGCUAGGGAGUGGGAGAGGUAGACGGUACUCGGUAGGAAGGGGUAAAAUCCUUUGAUCUAUUGAUGACCACCUGUGGCGAAGGCGGUCUACCAGAACACGUCCGACGGUGAGGGAUGGAAGCUGGGGGAGCAAACCGGAUUAGAUACCCGAGUAGUCC